rnacentral:rRNA from 1 species
AGUGAACGCUGGCGGCAGGCCUAAUACAUGCAAGUCGAACGGCAGCACAGCAGAGCUUGCUCUGUGGGUGGCGAGUGGCGGACGGGUGAGGAAUACAUGGGAAUCUGCCCAGUCGUGGGGGAUAACGUAUGGAAACGUACGCUAAUACCGCAUGCGCCCUACGGGGGAAAGCCGGGGACCUUCAGGCCUGGCGCGAUUGGAUGAGCCCAUGUUCGAUUAGCUAGUUGGCGGGGUAAAGGCCCACCAAGGCGACGAUCGAUAGCUGGUCUGAGAGGAUGAUCAGCCACGCUGGAACUGAGACACGGUCCAGACUCCUACGGGAGGCAGCAGUAGGGAAUAUUGGACAAUGGGCGCAAGCCUGAUCCAGCCAUGCCGCGUGAGUGAAGAAGGCCCUCGGGUUGUAAAGCUCUUUUGUCCGGAAAGAAAAGCAAUCGGUUAAUACCCGGUUGUUCUGACGGUACCGGAAGAAUAAGCACCGGCUAACUUCGUGCCAG